UCGUUUCCUUCUCUUUUCCAGAAAACUUUGUUACUCUUCUCAAUUCCCAAACCCUAAACCCAAACCCGAACACUAGAGCCAAAUCCCGACGCCGAUGGCAUAUCACGCCGGAGACAACGACGGCGACGGCCAAAACCGGCGGUUCUAUAAUCCAUACCAAGAUCUUCAAGUUCCAAUUCAGAAACUCUACAAACUCCCAACUUCCCCCGAAUUUCUCUUCAAAGAGGAAUCUCUCGCACAGCGCCGAUCGUGGGGAGAAAACCUAACGUUCUACACUGGCAUCGGUUAUCUCUCCGGUUCCGUCGUCGGGGCAGGUAAAGGAUUUAUUCAAGGCGUUAAAGCUUCUGAGCCUGGGGACACGUUGAAGCUCCGGAUUAACAGAAUAUUAAACGGGUCGGGUCACAAUGGUAGGAAGUUCGGGAAUCGAUUCGGAGUUAUUGGACUGAUGUAUGCGGGUUUAGAGAGUGGGAUGGUGGCGAUCAGGGAUACAGACGAUGUUAUCAAUAGCGUGGUGGCGGGUUUAGGGACUGGAGCAUUUUACAGGGCGGCGGCAGGGUUGAGGUCCGCGGCUGUUGCAGGGGUUAUUGGUGGAGCUGUAGUUGGGCUUGGAGUUGCAGCAAAACAGGCGAUGAAACGAUAUGUACCAAUCUGAGCUUGUUUUUGAUAGUUACUGUUCAGUAUGCAUACUUGUUGGACUUCUUUUUCGUGUAUCGGAAACAACCUUUAUACCUAGAGAGUUACUGGUGUUAUACUGGUGGUAGUUUUUGUGGAACUCGGUGAAAUAGUUUGAGGUGUAUGCAAACUGGUUAGGAUAAGACAAACUUGAAAUUUUAGCUCAUUGUUUAUUAUAUUGGUAUAGAUAGGUGAAAGUGUUGUAAUACAUUUCUAUUCACCUCAAUGAUUGUUAUGCCUGCACGUCAAA